GACGAACGCUGGCGGCGUGCUUAACACAUGCAAGUCGAACGGAAAGGCGCUGCUUUUGUGGGGUGCUCGAGUGGCGAACGGGUGAGUAACACGUGAGUAACCUGCCCUUGACUUUGGGAUAACUUCAGGAAACUGGGGCUAAUACCGGGUAGGAGCUCCUGCUGCAUGGUGGGGGUUGGUAAGUUUCGGCGGUUGUGGCUGGAAUCGAGGGUUACCCGCUAGUUGGUGGGGUAGUGGAUUUCGAAGGCUUCGACGGGUAGCCGGCCUGAGAGGGUGACCGGCGACAUUAGUCCUGAGAGACGCACCAGUAGCCUACGGGCGGCAAUAGGCGGGAACAUUGCACAAUGGGGGGACGCCUGUGACGGCAACGUUGGGUGCGUGAUGACGGCCUACGGGUUAUGAACCGCUGUCUCCGGUAACGAAGCGGGAGUGACGGUAAUGGGUAAAGAAGCACCGGCUAACUACGUG
rnacentral:rRNA from 1 species